GUCGAACGGCAGCACGGGGGCAACCCUGGUGGCGAGUGGCGAACGGGUGAGUAAUACAUCGGAACGUGUCCUGUAGUGGGGGAUAGCCCGGCGAAAGCCGGAUUAAUACCGCAUACGCUCUACGGAGGAAAGGGGGGGAUCUUAGGACCUCUCGCUGUAGGGGCGGCCGAUGGCAGAUUAGCUAGUUGGUGGGGUAAAGGCCUACCAAGGCGACGAUCUGUAGCUGGUCUGAGAGGACGACCAGCCACACUGGGACUGAGACACGGCCCAGACUCCUACGGGAGGCAGCAGUGGGGAAUUUUGGACAAUGGGCGCAAGCCUGAUCCAGCAAUGCCGCGUGUGUGAAGAAGGCCUUCGGGUUGUAAAGCACUUUUGUCCGGAAAGAAAACCGCCUGGCUAAUAUCCGGGCGGGAUGACGGUACCGGAAGAAUAAGCACCGGCUAACUACGUGCCAGCAGCCGCGGUAAUACGUAGGGUGCAAGCGUUAAUCGGAAUUACUGGGCGUAAAGCGUGCGCAGGCGGUCCGCUAAGACAGAUGUGAAAUCCCCGGGCUUAACCUGGGAACUGCAUUUGUGACUGGCGGGCUAGAGUAUGGCAGAGGGGGGUAGAAUUCCACGUGUAGCAGUGAAAUGCGUAGAGAUGUGGAGGAAUACCGAUGGCGAAGGCAGCCCCCUGGGCCAAUACUGACGCUCAUGCACGA
rnacentral:rRNA from 1 species